UUAAACACUGGUUCUCAUCCAAUCACUGAAAUUAAGCAAUGUUGAACCUGGUCAGUACCUAGAUGGGUGACUGCUUAGGAAUACCUGGUGCUGUAA